UUAGGAAAGCGAGCGGCGGAUGGGUGAGUAACACGUGGGGAACCUGCCCCAUAGUCUGGGAUACCACUUGGAAACAGGUGCUAAUACCGGAUAAGAAAGCAGAUCGCAUGAUCAGCUUUUAAAAGGCGGCGUAAGCUGUCGCUAUGGGAUGGCCCCGCGGUGCAUUAGCUAGUUGGUAAGGUAAAGGCUUACCAAGGCGAUGAUGCAUAGCCGAGUUGAGAGACUGAUCGGCCACAUUGGGACUGAGACACGGCCCAAACUCCUACGGGAGGCAGCAGUAGGGAAUCUUCCACAAUGGACGCAAGUCUGAUGGAGCAACGCCGCGUGAGUGAAGAAGGUUUUCGGAUCGUAAAGCUCUGUUGUUGGUGAAGAAGGAUAGAGGUAGUAACUGGCCUUUAUUUGACGGUAAUCAACCAGAAAGUCACGGCUAACUACGUGCCAGCAGCCGCGGUAAUACGUAGGUGGCAAGCGUUGUCCGGAUUUAUUGGGCGUAAAGCGAGCGCAGGCGGAAGAAUAAGUCUGAUGUGAAAGCCCUCGGCUUAACCGAGGAACUGCAUCGGAAACUGUUUUUCUUGAGUGCAGAAGAGGAGAGUGGAACUCCAUGUGUAGCGGUGGAAUGCGUAGAUAUAUGGAAGAACACCAGUGGCGAAGGCGGCUCUCUGGUCUGCAACUGACGCUGAGGCUCGAAAGCAUGGGUAGCGAACAGGAUUAGAUACCCUGGUAGUCCAUGCCGUAAACGAUGAGUGCUAAGUGUUGGGAGGUUUCCGCCUCUCAGUGCUGCAGCUAACGCAUUAAGCACUCCGCCUGGGGAGUACGACCGCAAGGUUGAAACUCAAAAGGAAUUGAC
rnacentral:rRNA from 1 species